rnacentral:lncRNA from 1 species
CAAUAAGUAUUUAAACUACGAACCAUUUUCAAUUUACUAUAUCUAAUUUUUUAAAAUUUUAAUUUAAAUAUGUAAUUUUAAAUUUAUUUGAUUUGAGUCCGGCGAUAAAAUUUUUACUCCCAAAUUCAAGUUAAUUGAUUAUUUUAAUAAAUCUAUAGUUACGACAGUUUCAAAUUUUGAAGCUAAAAUAUUUAUGAUUAUUUCAAAUCAAAUAAAUUAAAAUUUGAAAGAUUGAUAGUUGACUAAAAGUAAUUCAAAGUUAGAUGAUUU